AUGGCGGAGGCUGUUGUUGGGCAGCUGGUGAUGACACUCGGGGCAGCGCUGGCGAAAGAGGCGGCAACCUAUGGUGGGGCGCUGCUGUGCAAGGAAGCCGCGGCCCUGAGGGGUCUCUUCGGCAAGAUCCGCCAGUCCAAGGUGGAGCUGGAGAGCAUGCAAGCGUACCUGCAGGAGGCGGAGCGGUUCAAGGACACCGACAAGACCACCGCCAUCUUCGUCGGCGAGAUCAGGCACCUGGCCUUCCAAAUCGAGGACGUCGUCGACGAGUUCACCUACAAGAUGGAGGACUGCAAGCACGGAGGGUUCGCCGGCAAGAUGAAGAAGCGGCUCAAGCAUAUCAAGACCCGGCACCGCCUGGCAGCCAAGCUCCAAGAAAUCGAAGCGCAGCUGCAGGAAGCCAACCGGAGGAAGAGGGAUUACGCUGUCACCGGCAGAUCUGCUUCUGCUGCCAGAUCGAUGAAUCAAGGUCAAGCUUUGCAAUUCACCAGGGAUGAGGAUCUUGUGGGGAUCGAGGAGAACAAGGAGAGGUUGAUACGGUGGCUGACAGGCGGUGGUGAUGGUCUGGGGCAGAACAGCAGCAAAGUCACCCUGGUGUGGGGGAUGCCUGGUGUUGGUAAAACCACUCUGGUUGAUCAUGUGUACAACACCGUGAAAGAGGAUUUCGAUGCCGCAGCGUGGGUAACUGUGUCGGAAAGUUACCGUAUUGAGGAUUUAUUGAAGAAGAUUGCCGGCCAGUUCGGCAUUGCAGUCGACAUCGCCAACGUUGAGAUGAGAGGCCUAGCAAAGUCCAUCCACCAGUACCUUCAAGGUAAAAAGUACAUCAUGGUCCUGGAUGAUGUUUGGGCUGAGUGCUUUUGGUCGGAGAUAAGGGAUGUCUUCCCAACAUCUAACUGUAUCGGCCGAGUUGUGAUGACAUCAAGAAAGCAGACAGUGUUGGUAACCAGGGAGUCCGCAUACGCAAUUCACUUGGAACCACUACAAGCAUAUCACUCCUGGGUGUUGUUCUGCAAAGGGGCUUUUUGGAAUGCUGAUGACAAAAGGUGCCCGUUGGAGCUGCAGGAAUUGGCUCGAAAGUUCAUAGCAAAGUGUCAAGGCUUGCCUAUUGCUAUUACAUGCAUUGGCCGCCUGCUCUCCUGGAAACUCCCAACUUCCGUUGAAUGGGAGGAUGUGUACAGGGGUUUGGAUUCGCAGUUGGCGAAAGAUGUGAUCCCUGAUGCUCAUAUGAUCCUAAAGGUCAGCUUGGAAGAUCUUCCAUAUGAUUUGAAGAAUUGUUUCUUACAUUGUGCAUUAUCGCCAGAAGAUUUUAAAUUAAAGAGGAGAAGGAUAAUCAGGCAAUGGAUUGCGGUGGGGUUUGUCAGGGAAAAAAAUGAGGGAAAAACAUUGGAGCAAGUGGCAGAGGGAUACUUGGUUGAGCUUGUUAAUCGAAGCCUGUUACAAGUAGUGCAAAGGAAUUAUGCCGGACGACUGAAAUAUUGCAGGAUGCAUGAUGUCAUACGGCUUCUUGCCCUUAGAAAAGCCAAGGAGGAAUGCUUUGGUAAAGUUUAUAAUGGCUCUGGUAUUGGGUCAUUCUUUGUAGAGGGUUCACGUCGCAUAUCAGUCCAGGGCGAAAACCUUGAACAAUUGAGCCUAUCUGGCCCAACACAGCUUCGUGCGCUCCAUGUAUUUGAGAAGUAUAUCAAUGUUGAUUUGCUGAAGCCUAUCCUAACAUCUUCUAAUUUGUUGUCGACAUUGGAUCUGCAAGGUACUUGUAUCAAAAUAUUGCCCAAUGAAGUAUUCAACUUGUUUAAUCUGCGUUAUUUGGGCAUUAGAGGUACCAAGAUCGAAAGCUUGCCUGAAUCGGUGGGGAGGUUACAAAACUUAGAAGUCUUGGAUGCUUGGGACUCUAAGAUGAAGUAUUUGCCAAACAAUGUUGUAAAACUUUAG
rnacentral:rRNA from 1 species